rnacentral:rRNA from 1 species
CCUGAACGCUGGCGGCGUGGCUAAGACAUGCAAGUCGCACGGGGUAGCAAUACCCAGUGGCGAACGGGUGAGUAAUGAAUCGCUAAUGUGCCCCGGACUCUGGGAUAGCCAGCCGAAAGGCUGGGUAAUACCAGAUGAGACCACGAACAGGCAUCUGUUUGUGCUCAAAGGUCCGCCGGUCUGGGAGCAGGCGAUUUCGUAUCAGCUUGUUGGUGAGGUAACGGCUCACCAAGGCGACGACGCGUAGCCGGACUGAGAGGUUGGCCGGCCACAUUGGGACUGAGACACUGCCCAGACUCCUACGGGGGGCUGCAGUAACGAAUCUUCCGCAAUGUACGAAAGUAUGACGGAGCGACGCCG